CAGUCUGUGGACUUCACCACAGCUGCCUCUGCCUGGCCCAGCCGCCUGUGAUGUCUGCCGUGACCCCACGUCCCCGCGCUCCGCCUUCGUGGGCACCGGUCUCCCACUCAGCACUGUCGAACACCCACUAAUGCUUGGUCAUAAGACUUGCCUUUCAAUUCCUGGCCACUGGGGACUCCACCCUGGGCUGAGCCUGCCAGGCCCAGCUUCAGGGACCAGCCCUGCCGAGAGAGACUCGAGAGUCAGAGGCCCUGCAGGGGGGACGCCUGAAGCCCAGUCGCCUGCCCCGACCCACACAGCAUGCUCAAGUGUAGCUUUGUGGCUCCUUGCUUUUAGUCUACUCCCCCGAGACCACCCCCUCCCGUCUGGGAUGUCCCCAUGGGAAGUGACAGGAUUAACCAGACUUGGAGCUGAAGUCUCUCUUUAUUGCACUGGUGAUGUGUUCGGGGGCGCCACAGGCAGGGGAGGUGCAGAGGGUACCACCUCCUCUUCGGUCAGCAUCUCUGCCAGGACUCGGGUCUGA
rnacentral:lncRNA from 1 species